GAUGUGCCACCGCUGGCGCGACAGGUGGGGGCACGCGGAGAGUCUCCCGACCCCUCCCCGCAUCACCUCGGUCCGGAUGCCCAGGACGACACAUCCCGAGGGGCAGACGCAGGGUUCUGGAGACAUGGUUGCAAGCUUCAUCUAGAGUGAAUCAGUGAAUCAUCUUCAGUGAAUGCUGAAGGCUGAGGGUAGCUGCUGUUCAGCUAUGUCAAGGCUGUAAAAUGUCUUUUUCUUUCCUUCUGUUGAACAAAAAUGUAACAUUCAGCUUACUUCCAAAAGGCGAUUUUGUCCAUCUAUCCAUUCACCUUCACCCUCCACUUUCCUUCCUCCUAUUAAAUGUGAAAAAACCUAUCCUGUCAGGGACCACAUAUGAACAUUUUCACCCUGAAAACAAUUACUCCUGCAAUUUCCCCAAUCAGUGAGCCAAGAGACCACCUGUUCUCUGAAGCCACUCAAGUACCUAACUUUCAGAGGUGAAGGGAAAGGUUAUUUCUGAGGUUAAAUAAUAAGAUUUGAUGAGAAAUACUGAAAAUCUCGACCAAAAUCUGAUGCCGAAAUCCAGAUGAUGAUUUCUUUUGGGAUGUGUGAUGCAGGGGGCCAGGCCGAGGAUUCAUUACUGUCCUUCCCAGCCUUCAAUUGUAUUAUGGCUGAGAUGUGCACUGUGUUUUUGCAUCCUUUCUCAUUGUCUCAAAAGUAGAAAGGGAUGACCACACCAGUCAGAGUGCUGCCAUGGUAGUGUGGGGUUGAACUCCUGCUUGAAAACAAGCCUUCUGUAUUCAGUGCUGCCAGUGUAUUGGGUCCUGCUUUAGCCCCAUGAUAAAUCCACCAGCUGCCUCCACAUGCAGGAAGCUCAUGAGCUGAGGUGAGCCAGAGAUUGAGACGGAGUCACAUCUUUAUUUAUAUCCUUUGUGAACACUGUAUUUCCAGGCAGCUCAUUACAAUGAACCCACAAAGAAACACAGGACUGGAAUGACCCUUAGAUGGGCAACUCUUGCUCCUCAUCAUACAGUAUCUUUCAUCCUGCUGAAACUAAUUGUCUUCAACAAACAAACAAACAAACAAAAAACAAA